rnacentral:rRNA from 1 species
AACAAAUACGAGUCUUAAAGUCUUGUAAUUGGAAUGACGGGAAUCUAAAACCUUUCCGGAGUAUCAAUUGGAGGGCAAGUCUGGUGCCAGCAGCCGCGGUAAUUCCAGCUCCAAUAGCGUAUAUUAAAAUUGUUGCAGUUAAAAAGCUCGUAGUUGAAUUUCUGCUGCAUCCGUGUCAUUCCUAACUGGUUUGUCACUGUUGUGGCUUUUUCUGGUGGUUGUGCUUCGGCUAGAUCUCCAGAUUGUUACUUUGAGAAAAUUAGAGUGCUUCAAGCAGGCUUUUGCCUUGAAUACUUUAGCAUGGAAUAACUAAGUAGGACUUUGGUUCUAUUUUGUUGGUUUAAGAGCCAAAGUAAUGAUUAAUAGGAACAGUUGGGGGCAU